rnacentral:lncRNA from 1 species
UAUGCUCAAGAUUAGCUUCUUUUACCUUUCACAUUCUCACUUGAUACACCUUAUAUAUAUAAUAUUCAAGGUUGUGCUAGAUUUAUUAAAUUUUUCCUUUAGGCUAAAUUACUCACGUGGUCUGUUAAUUUUAUUUUAAGUUGCAGUUUGGUUCCUUAUUUACUAAAACUAACACUAGUCGUUUUUGAUUUUGAACUUUUUUAUUGAUUUAAGUUGGGAAACUUAUCCCAUUAAAUUCAUUUACGUGAAAACUAUGUGAUAUUUGGACAAAAAAGGACAUAAAUAAGGUGAAAAAGCAUGAAAAGUGUCUUAUGAGCUCGUGGAAAACCGAAAAUUUCCCAAGAUCAACCGGAAGAUUGCUCGUGAGACUCAUUUUUCAUGUGGUUUUUAUCAUGUUUAUGUUCCUUCUUUGGUCUGAAAAUGAGUUUGAUUUUAUAAUUUUAUUGUAGGUGAAUAUAAUAGGGCAAGUUUCAUGUUUUGAAUAAAAAAAGUUCAAAAUUGUGUCCCAAAAUCGAAAAUAAUAAGUGUGUUACAACAUUACUUAGGGAUCAUUUUACAAAUUUUAGUAAAUAAGGGAUCAAAUUGCAACCUGAUGGAGCUCAAAUUAUAAGUAUGUAUGUAAGACAGAAAUAUAGAACUGUAAUUGUAUUAAUUUGGAAAUGGAGCAAUUAUCAUUGAUGAAAUAAUAUGAAAAACUGACAGUAAGAAAAUGACAAGAUUGAUAGCAAGCUAAACAAUCCUCCAAAGCACUCAGGCUCCCACCAUUCACGUAUGGAAUGAUUCUGCUAACAGAAAACUCUCUACCCCGUUCUCUCCCCUCUAACUAACUUAUAUGGACCUCAUAACACCCCUCAUGCAUCCCAUGCAUCCUCCUCUUAUUCCUGCCACAUCAUCACUUAGUAACUCUUUUCCCACGUUUCCUUUCAUACACUCUCCACACUUUGGGCUUGGGGCUGUCAAGGCCCAAUUCCUCAUUCACGUUCCUAUCAUUACCACCCUCUUCAGAAAGAGCCUUGUCCUCAAGGCUAAAAUUUGGGAACUGUCCUCUGAUCACAGCAUUGUCUUCCCAAGUUACAUCAUCAAUUGAUUUCUUGUUCCACUGAAUCAAACUUUGAGGAAUGGAAACCCCUCCCUGCACAGUAACUCUUGAGCCAAGCACCUUGACUGGGUAAAUCUCGUCAUCCCCAAUGACCUCUAACUCCUUGGGUAACUCGCCCUGUACUUGAUAAUCUCCAAUAGCCUUCUUUAACAGUGACACAUGAAAAACGGGGUGGAUUCUAGACUGUUCAGGCAACUGCACCUUAUAGGCUACUUCCCCCACCUUAGCAAUAAUUUGAAAUGGCCCAUAGAAACGAGCUGCAAGUUUCUGGUUUAUCCUUCUGACAACAGAUUGUUGUCUAUGAGGCCUUAGUUUCAAGAAUACCCAAUCUCCCACCUCAAACUGCACAUUUUUCCUCUUCAAAUCAGCAUAGUAUUUCAUUUGCUGUUGAGCUUUCAACAACUGUAGUUUCAGUUGAUUCAGUGCCUCAUCUCUAUCCUGCAACUCCAAGGCUACAGCAGCCACCUUAGUCUCAUUACUCAAAAAUCUCAUCAGAUUAGGUGGUUGCCUACCAUAUACAACUUCAAAUGGAGAUUUGCCUAGAGAUAUAUGAUACGUUGUAUUGUACCAAUACUCAGCCCAUGGUAUCAAAUAUGACCAAGUCUUAGGUUGAUCAGCAGCAAAACACCUCAGAUAGCUCUCAAGGCACCUAUUGAUCACUUCAGAUUGUCCAUCUGUCUCAAGAUGAUAAGCUGAGCUCAUCUUGAGUGUAGUACCCUGCAACUUGAAUAACUCUCUCCAGAAAUGACUCACAAAUAAUGGAUCUCUAUCACUGACAAUUGAGUUGGGAACCCCAUGCAAUCGAACCACCUCUUUAACAAACAAUUCAGCCACAGUCUUUGCAUUGUACGGAUGUUUCAUCAAAAUGAAGUGGCUAUACUUGGAAAGUCUGUCUACUACAACUAAAACUGCCUCAAAACCCUUAGACUUUGGUAACCCAGUUAUAAAAUCCAUAGAAAUGUCCUCCCAAAUAGCAUUUGGUAAAGGUAAAGGUUGAAGCAGACCACCAGGGGACGUAGCAGCAUAUUUUUGCCUCUGGCACACAUCACAAGCCCUCACAUAAUCUCUUAUUGUUUUUUGCAUCCCCACCCAAUACAAAUUUUCUGCUAUGCGCCUAUAUGUUCUUAAGUAACCUGAGUGCCCCCCCAUAGGAGUCUCAUGAAAUUCCUUCAACAGAGCAGGAAUUGAGGGAGAAUUCUUUCCUAACACCAAACGCCCUUGAUACAAUAAUACCCCUUGCUGCACUGAGAACCCAGGUUUAGCACUAGGAUUCAGCUCCACUUCUGCAAUAAUUUGCUGCACAGAUGCGUCUUGCUUCACCUCUUGCAGUAACUGUUUGCUAUCCACCCAAGUAGGACCAGAUUUUAGUGCAGUUAGUUCCCCUUCAUCAUAACAACGUGAUAGUGCAUCAGCUGCCUUGUUUUCUGGCCCUGGUUUAUACUUCACUUCAAAUUGGUAACCCAAUAACUUGGCCAGCCAACAUUGUUGAUCCGGAGAAGAGAUCCUCUGCUGCAGGAAGUGUUUUAAGCUUUUGUGAUCUGUAUAUACCACAAAUUCCCUUCCUAACAAGUAGUGCCUCCAAUGUUGAAUGGAGAGAACCAAUGCCAUAAGUUCCUUCUCAUAGACAGAUUUUGCUAAAUUUUUGUCAGAUAAGGCUUUGCUAAAAUAAGCAAUGGGUUGCUUAUUCUGCAUUAAGACUGCUCCUAUUCCCCUCCCAGCCGCAUCACAUUCUACUUCAAAAGGGAUGGAAAAGUUUGGUAAAACCAACACUGGGGAUGUGGUCAUGAUCUUUUUCAGCUGAUUAAAAGCUUCUCUAGCAGUUUCUCUCCACAGAAAAUUAUCCUUCUUUGUGAGAUCAGUCAAAGGUCUCGCAAUUUUCCCAUAAUCUUUGACAAAUUUCCUAUAGUACCCAGUGAGACCUAGGAAACCCCUGACUCCUUUGACAUUCUUAGGUUCAGGCCACUCUAAGAUGCAUUUUAUCUUCUCAGGGUCCACAGAAACUCCCUCUCCAGAGAUGAUGUGCCCAAGGUAAUCCACUUGCAAACAACCAAAUUUACAUUUGCUUCUGUUGGCUACAAAGCAAUGCUUCAUCAACACAGUUAGCACUUGUUUGAGGUGAGUAAGGUGCUCCUGCUCACUGCUGCUAUACACCAGAAUGUCAUCAAAGAAGACCAAUACGAAUUUUCUGAGAAAAGGUCGGAAUAUAUGAUUCAUGGUAGACUGAAAAGUUGCAGGCGCGUUCAUUAGUCCAAAAGGCAUCACCAGGUACUCAUAGUGGCCAUUGUGAGUCCUAAAAGCAGUUUUAUGCACAUCAUCCUCAUGCACCCGUAUUUGAUGGUAACCUGACUUGAGGUCUAUCUUUGAGAAAACAGUUGCUCCAUAUAGCUCAUCCAACAGUUCAUCCACAAUGGGAAUAGGGUACUUGUCAGGAACAGUUGCCUUAUUCAAUGCUCUAUAAUCUACACACAUCCUCCAAGAGUGGUCCUUCUUUUUGACCAAGAUGACUGGACUUGAGAAAGCACUCAUGCUUGGUCUAAUAACUCCAGCUUGCAACAAUUCUGCCACCUGCUUCUCAAUCUCUUCCUUCUGGUGGUGUGGAUAUUUAUACGGUCUGACAUUGACUGGACCAUGGUUGGGUAGUAGAUUAAUCUGGUGUACCUGCUCUCUUUCAGGUGGUAAUGUUAUUUGUUCCUGGAAGAUUUGUGGAAAUGAGCCCAGGACCUCUGCAAUUCCUUUGUUAAUUUGUUCUUUCCCCCCUUCAAUCUUCACAUUAGGGGACCACCACCACUCAUUACUAAACUCUCUUUUUCUGUCUUCCAAAAAGGAGUUCAGAAAACCCUGUUGCAGCUGUCUCCCACUUUGGCCCUGCAAGGUUACCAUUUCAUCCUUAUGCCAGAAUUGCAUAGAUAAAUCCUUCCAAUCCAUCACCACUUUCCCCAACGUGCUCAACCAUGACACCCCCAAAACCACAUCCAAUCCUCCUAACUCUAAGACCAACGCAUCAAUCACAAAAUUCUGGGUUCCAAGUGCGAUUCUGACUCCCCUACAAACACCUUCAGACAUCACUCUAUGACCGUCUCCCAGUUUGAUACUUCUCACAGUCGUGGGCGUGACUGUUAGUCCUAAGGCCAUAGUCAGCUUCGGAGAAAUGAAAUUGUGGCUAGCUCCACUGUCAAUCAGCACCUCUACAGUUACAUUAGCAAGCUUCCCUUCAAUCUUCAUUGUUUGAUACUCCCCCAUCUUCCCCAAUAUUCCUAUCAAAUUGCACUCUGCCUCCUGGUCUUCUUCUUCCUCUGACCCCUCAGCUUCCAUAGCCACGAUUUCUCCAUCAUCGUUCAUUGUCUCACCUUCACCCAGAAUUAACAAACGCAAGGCUCGUUCAGGGCACUUGUGCAAAGUUGGAUGGUACUUACCUCCACACUUGAAACAUAGACCUUUAGCCCUUCUUUCCUCCAUUUCUUCGUUCCUAACUCCUUUCCACUUCUCGGAUCCUCCAGAUCGGCGGUCGUAUUCACCCUUCUUGCCUGUCGAACUCAAGGACGAGGUCGAUUUGGAAUUAGAACCAACAGAACCCGUUUUUCUACUCGGGUUGGCCCAACCCGAAUUCGUAGAUCUGGACAUUUCCUUCUGGCCCGGGUUAAACCCGCUUCGGAACUUAGAUCCAAGCCCACUGGGUUCACUGCGCCCCAGUAAUUUCUUGCCAUAGGCCCGAUCCCCAUCAUCAUCUUCUUCCUUCAGCUCUUCCUCCACAUCUUUCGCCAUCCUCAUCAUCUGCAUCCGAUUCUGUGGAUUAAGAGUUCUCACCCUGCGUCGGAUUGGUUGCUUCAAUCCACUCAUAAAGUAUCCCAAAUACUGCUCCUCAGGCAAUCGUCCCACCUGAGAUGAGAGAAGCUCAAAAGCUUCCACGAACUCCUCCACGCUUCCGGUUUGUUUCAAUGUUGAUAACUCUUCAAACGGAUUCUCCAAACGUCGGCCACCGUAACGAGCAAUCAACGACUUCUUCAGUUUUUCCCACGUCAACUGAUCCUCCGUCUCCAUCAACAAAUUGAACCAGUGAAUGGUUGCCCCCUCCAUGCUCAGGCGAGCUAACUUCACUCGCAUCUCCUCCGAAGUGUUCUGAACAUCAAAGUAGAUCUCAGCUCGCGUAAUCCACGCAACUGGAUCAUCUCCCUCAAAAACCGGAAGUUUCACCUUCUUCCCCGAGAAUCGAGACUCAUAGUAAUCAUCCAUCGAUUUCUCGCUUUCAUUAGAGUUCUCGUUCACCUUCUGACCAAUCUGCUUGCUGAGUUCACUCAGUACCAAGCUCUGUUGUUGCAUUUGUUGAGCUAUCGACGUACUCUGUUCUUGCAUCUGUAACGCCAAUGCUUGCAAGGUGGAUUUCACUUCACCCAUCUGUUCCUCCAACAAAUCAAGACGAUCACCCAUCUUCGGUUUUCGUGACGGCGCCAGCGGUGUAACGAUCCGGCAGGUCGGACCAAUUGAUGGAGCUCAAAUUAUAAGUAUGUAUGUAAGACAGAAAUAUAGAACUGUAAUUGUAUUAAUUUGGAAAUGGAGCAAUUAUCAUUGAUGAAAUAAUAUGAAAAACUGACAGUAAGAAAAUGACAAGAUUGAUAGCAAGCUAAACAAUCCUCCAAAGCACUCAGGCUCCCACCAUUCACGUAUGGAAUGAUUCUGCUAACAGAAAACUCUCUACCCCGUUCUCUCCCCUCUAACUAACUUAUAUGGACCUCAUAACACCCCUCAUGCAUCCCAUGCAUCCUCCUCUUAUUCCUGCCACAUCAUCACUUAGUAACUCUUUUCCCACGUUUCCUUUCAUACACUCUCCACACUUUGGGCUUGGGGCUGUCAAGGCCCAAUUCCUCAUUCACGUUCCUAUCAUUACCUAAAAUAAAAUUAAGGGACCGCAUGAGUAAUUUAGUCUUUCCUUUAUAUAUAAAAUGUAAUGUAAUCUUCACUUAGUAUCUGGAAAUUGUCUUCAAUUGAUAAUAUAUAUAUAUAUAUAGUCCUUCAUUAGCAAUUAUUUUGGAAAUUUCAGUCUUAGAAUCCUGAAUGUCGUCCUUUCUGUUUCUCAGUCAUUUAUCUAACUGAUUGAAACCCCCCAUGCUUAUGGUCAAAAACUGGUUAAUAAAAAGACUUGCUUCUCUUUCCAAGCAUCCAAUUUGCAUUAUAUGUAAAUUAAAAGACUAACAAUAAUUGAUGCUAUCUCACUGAAUACUUAUAAUACUACUGUGC